UUGAAUUUUAAUGAAGAGUUUGGUUGUAGCUGGCCCAUUCAUUUGGGCAUGUGCACACCUUCCACUUUCAUCCCACACACACCUGUGAACCUGUGAGACAGAGAUGGGGAAUUUACUUGCUGCUUUUUGGAAUACAAAGGCAAUAGGUUAUUGGACCCCCCCUCUGUCUACUCAAUUAAUAUAAACUCAAUUUAUUUUAAAACGAAUGUAAUGGAUGUAACACAUCUCAUAC
rnacentral:misc_RNA from 1 species